rnacentral:lncRNA from 1 species
GAUCGCUACCCCAGUCACCGUAAUCCCCUCCCCUGGACGAGCCUCUCUUCCCAGGCAGUCCGGCAAGAGGAAACUGACAUCCCGCAUCCCGCCUGGCACUGAAACCUGGCUUCUCCGCCCCUACUCCUACCUGCCGCUCAUCCUGGGCUCCUUCCUAGACUUCAGUGCUUCACACGCACUUGCCUAGCGCCCGAACUCCUGUGCAUCCACACCACUGCCCCGUGAGAGCGAGCUAGUCCACAGCAUCUGCACACCCCAGCAGGUGCAGCCCCGCACCACUAGCGCCCCCCUGGCCCCAAAGUUGGAGGACGCCAGCAAAAUGGAAAGGGAUGGCUGGAGGGGAGGUGGCGAUGGGUUCUCAAGUGGAAUGAGAAAACUCUAAAUGCCACGAACCUGAACCCAAUUGACCCGUGUCCAGCUGCAGCGAGUAGCCAGUGUUUGUUUAUUUAUUCUUUGGGGUGUCCCCGCCUCCUCUUUCUCUUUCCGGCCUCACUUUCUCUGUGCUAGGUAAAAAACGAUGCCAUAAUCUGCUACAGCUCGGAGGACAGAGUUGGCCAGGACGAUUUCCGAGCAGACCUCCCCGCCCCGGCUCGAUGCCCGACUUGGCAAGAUUCAGACUCACUCAGACCUAAGCCCUGAGCGGCGAUCCGGGAUGCACCCACCCAUUGAUAAAACGCUUGUGCGAGCUCACGCACCUCUCUCCUCCUGCUAUGACAGCGAGACAAAGCAAAGUCCACCCCAGGCCACUGCAUUGAAGUCUGAUCAGACCCAGCUUUAGCCCCAUCAGAAGCUCUGCUACAUCUGUGGUGACCGUUGUUUCAGGCACUCUAUCUGCCUCCUUGACUGGACUGUGAGCUCGUUGAAGGCAAGGAAAUGUUCUAGACCUUAGGUCUGCAUCCCCAGCAUUUAGACUUAUGACUGACACACACUCAAUCCCAAAGAAUGCGUAUUGAUUGCAUGAAUAAUGCGUAGUGCUGGUCCUCAUUUUCCUCUGACACCAUAAUUUUACAGAAAGAUUUAUAUGAAAAUCCCUUUACUGUAUGAACAAUACUAAAUGUAAGUACCUCGUAUGAUUACUGGUAUUACAGUUCCAAUAAUAGUAUCAGAUAUGUAUUAUUCCUUUGGGGAUUUGACAUUUAAAUUUUUUUAAACAAAAACCAUUAUUAUAAUAGAAUGCUCUUUUUCUGCCUCACUUUAAUAGUAAAAUAUGACAUAUUUCAUUUCUGGGAAAUGAUAUCUUGCCUUAGGUCAUAUUUUAAGGCAUAAAGCCAGAAGCA